UCCUGUAAUGACAAAUGUCUUCAUUUAAUUUGUAGGUGUGUUUCACAGUUUACGAGCAACUUAAAGGCAUCCUUUCAAAUGGGGAUGGGGAUAGCCAGCUCUCAGUUGGUGCAAACAUGGUAGCUGCUGCUGGUUCUGGGGCUGCCACAUCCAUUGUUACAAAUCCAUUGUGGGUUGUGAAAACCAGACUCCAGACGCAAGGAAUGAGGCCAGGUGUGGUGCCUUACAAAAGCGUACUUUCUGCUUUGAGGCGGAUUAAACAAGAGGAAGGCAUGCUAGGCUUGUACAGUGGGAUUUUGCCUUCUUUGGCUGGGAUAAGUCAUGUUGCAAUUCAAUUUCCAGUUG